AGGGUGGAAUGUCUGGAAAUUACCGGUUGUUUUUUUUUUUGCGGCCUGAUGGAGAUUCUGGGAUUUGUAGUUCUUUACACGUUGACCGCGUAGUGAAAUUGGAGGAAGAGAACUACAACUCCCACUGCUACGUGACCCGCUUUGGUUGACAGCCAGGAGUGCCUUUCUUUUGACACAAACAAAAGAAUAAUACACAGUGUGAGUCGUGGAAAGUACAACAUGCCUUUGAGAAGGAGAAGAGACAGCGUGUACUGGCAGCCUGCUGUAGUCCUUCACACCAUCCCACAUGUUGGUUUAUCUGCAUCUCUGCUGUACUAUUCUAUAUCUAGGCAUGUUUACAUUUGUGGGAAAUCCCACACAGUGGCUGUUGUGUUUGCAUAAGUUCUAAAGUAGAAGGUACUGCGUCCUCUGACCUUGCCAAACAGUAUGAGACACUUUGUACUUUUUUUUUGUAAAUGUCUGCAUGUUGCCAGGCUGAUAACACAUGGCUGAAUCGAAUACAUGCAUUCAUACAGACUUAAUGCUUCUAUAAGGUCAAAGUUAUGCACACCCUUGUCUUAUGACUGUCUGAAGUUAGCUGGAAAAUGCAGUUAUCUGGAAGUGUCACUACAGGGUUGGUCAAUGUUUAAAGGCCUCAUAAAAUGAGAUCACUUAUUUGUUAUAUAAAAGGUCAUUAAUGUAUAGUACAACUCAAUUUCUUUUUUUUUGUCACUGUAAAUAUAUUUAUAAUAUAAAGCAUUCCCAUUUUAAAGUCCAUUAUAUAUUCCGUUUAAUUUCCAUUAUACUGUUUUCAACAUGUCAUAAGUAGCACGGGUAUAUGUGUAGCAAUAGGCAACAGCAUACUAUAUGGAUCUUUUAUGCCAAAAUCUUUAGGAUUUUAAGUAAAGAUCAUGUUCCAUGAAGAUAUUUUUUUUAAAGUUCCUACCGUAAAUAUAUCAAAACUUAGUUUGAUUAAUAUUAUGCAUUGCUAAGAACUUCAUUUGGACAACUUUAAAGAUGCUUUUUAUCAAUAUUUUUAUUUUAUUUAUAUUUUUUUAUUUAUUUAUUUUUGCACCCCCAGAUUCCAGAUUUUGAAGUAGUUGCAUCUGUGCCAAAUAUCAUCCUAUCCUAUGUUAUAUGGUGUAUAAAUAUUCAUAGUGAAGAUUGGAGCAGUGAUGCUUAAAAACUCAGCUUUACCUCAUAGAAAUAAAUUU